rnacentral:rRNA from 1 species
AUUAAACGCUGGCGGCAUGCCUUACACAUGCAAGUCGAACGGCAGCACGGGGCAACCUGGUGGCGAGUGGCGAACGGGUGAGUAAAGCAUCGGAACGUGCCCUGGAGUGGGGGAUAACGUAGCGAAAGUUACGCUAAUACCGCAUAUUCUGUGAGCAGGAAAGCAGGGGAUCGCAAGACCUUGCGCUCUGGGAGCGGCCGAUGUCGGAUUAGCUAGUUGGUGGGGUAAAGGCCUACCAAGGCGACGAUCCGUAGCGGGUCUGAGAGGAUGAUCCGCCACACUGGGACUGAGACACGGCCCAGACUCCUACGGGAGGCAGCAGUGGGGAAUUUUGGACAAUGGGCGCAAGCCUGAUCCAGCCAUGCCGCGUGAGUGAAGAAGG